GAGAACUGGAUUUUUGCCUUCUUUCGUAUUCGAACCAUUUCUCCAAGAAACGUUAUUUACGCUCAUAGACGCCAAGAACAUCGUUCAUGGUUUCUUGGUUCCUUUGCGCUUACAGGGGCUCCAGCUUAAUCCUCCCUCGCUAUGAUUUCCACGGCAAUUUCUGUCAAACCGAACGUCCUCUCUAUCUCUCUCUCUCUCUCUAUUUCUCUUUCGCCUAGCGCCAUGGAUCCCUACAAGUACCGGCCCUCAAGUGCUUACAAUUCACCCUUCUGGACUACCAACUCCAGUGCUCCGGUUUGGAACAACAACGCUUCCUUGACAGUUGGAUCCAGAGGUAUUUUGGCUGUGAUUUGUGUUAGUUUUUCUGAAUGGUUGACUUGGCUAUUUUUGUUGUUAUGAGGAUUAUCGUAAUAAUUGUCUAUUGAGUGUUGAAUGCUUGAUUACAUUUAUUGUUUGAUGAUUUUUUUGUUGGAUUGAAAUUUUUGAAUCCACUUAAAAUGGGUUUUCAAAUAUGAGUAGAAUUGUUCCUUCUAUACUCCUAGAAGAACCUAUACAAGCCAAACAUCUUCACUAACCAAUAAUUGUAACCACCUAUAUGGGAAAGUGCUUGUCCGGAUGGCAUUGUUCAACUGACGGAGGAAGAUGAAUGCGCCUACCAGGAGAUGAUUGCUCAUCUUCCUCUUUGUUCAAUUCUGUCCCCCAAAACUGUAAUUUCAUUUGAAAAUCUUGGUUUUGAAGUCACUGUUCUUAAUUAGAUUAAGU